rnacentral:rRNA from 1 species
CUUAACACAUGCAAGUCGCGUGCGCGGUUCCGUAGCAACAGAGGGAUGGGCGCACGGCGCACGGGUGCGUAACACGUGGGCAAUCUGCCCUCCGAUGGGGAAUAACCCCGCGAAAGCGGGGCUAACAGACGCAUAAACGGGCCUUGGACUAUGGUUUGAGGACUCAAAGCAGCAAUGCGUCAGAGGAGGAGCCCGCGCCCGAUUAGCUAGUUGGUGAGGUAACGGCUCACCAAGGCAAUGAUCGGUAGCUGGUCUGAGAGGAUGGCCAGCCACACUGGAACUGAGACACGGUCCAGACUCCUACGGGAGGCAGCAGUGGGGAAUCUUGCGCAAUGGGCGAAAGCCUGACGCAGCGACGCCGCGUGGGGGAUGAAGCUUUUCGGAGUGUAAACCCCUUUCGACUGGGACGAAUGCCCGCAAGGGAGUGACGGUACCAGUAGAAGAAGCCCCGGCUAACUACGUGCCAGCAGCCGCGGUAAGACGUAGGGGGCCAGCGUUGUUCGGAAUUACUGGGUGUAAAGGGUUCGUAGGCGGUGUGGCAAGUCGGGAGUGAAAUCUCUGGGCUUAACUCAGAGGCUGCUUCCGAAACUGCUGUGCUUGAGUGUGGGAGAGGCGCGUGGAAUUGCAGGUGUAGCGGUGAAAUGCGUAGAUAUCUGCAGGAACACCCGUGGCGAAAGCGGCGCGCUGGACCACAACUGACGCUGAGGAACGAAAGCUAGGGGAGCAAACAGGAUUAGACA